rnacentral:rRNA from 1 species
UGCGGAGGGAUCAUUACAAGUGACCCCGGUCUAACCACCGGGAUGUUCAUAACCCUUUGUUGUCCGACUCUGUUGCCUCCGGGGCGACCCUGCCUUCGGGCGGGGGCUCCGGGUGGACACUUCAAACUCUUGCGUAACUUUGCAGUCUGAGUAAACUUAAUUAAUAAAUUAAAACUUUUAACAACGGAUCUCUUGGUUCUGGCAUCGAUGAAGAACGCAGCGAAAUGCGAUAAGUAAUGUGAAUUGCAGAAUUCAGUGAAUCAUCGAAUCUUUGAACGCACAUUGCGCCCCCUGGUAUUCCGGGGGGCAUGCCUGUUCGAGCGUCAUUUCACCACUCAAGCCUCGCUUGGUAUUGGGCAACGCGGUCCGCCGCGUGCCUCAAAUCGACCGGCUGGGUCUUCUGUCCCCUAAGCGUUGUGGAAACUAUUCGCUAAAGGGUGUUCGGGAGGCUACGCCGUAAAACAACCCCAUUUCUAAGGUUGACCUCGGAUCAGGUAGGGAUACCCGCUGAACUUAAGCAUAUCAA